rnacentral:rRNA from 1 species
GACGAACGCUGGUGGCGUGCUUAACACAUGCAAGUCGAACGGGAUUUAGUAAACAGACGCCUCGGUGGAAGAUUACUAAUGAGAGUGGCGAACGGGUGAGUAACGCGUGAGCAACCUGCCUAUGACAGUGGGAUAGCCUCGGGAAACCGGGAUUAAUACCGCAUAAAAUCGUAGAAACACAUGUUUUAACGGUCAAAGAUUUAUCGGUCAUAGAUGGGCUCGCGUCUGAUUAGCUAGUUGGUGAGAUAACAGCCCACCAAGGCGACGAUCAGUAGCCGGUCUGAGAGGAUGAACGGCCACAUUUGAACUGAGACACGGUCCAAACUCCUACGGGAGGCAGCAGUGGGGAAUAUUGCACAAUGGGGGAAACCCUGAUGCAGCGACGCCGCGUGAACGAAGAAGGUAUUCGUAUCGUAAAGUUCUGUCCUAUGGGAAGAUAAUGACAGUACCAUAGAAGAAAGCUCCGGCUAAAUACGUG